rnacentral:rRNA from 1 species
UACGUAGGGUGCGAGCGUUUAAUCGGAAUUACUGGGCGUAAAGCGUGCGUAGGCGGUUUCAUAAGCUUGAUGUGAAAGCCCCCGGGCUCAACCUGGGAAUGGCAUUGAGGACUGUGGAGCUAGAGUGCGGCAGAGGGAGGUGGAAUUCCACGUGUAGCAGUGAAAUGCGUAGAGAUGUGGAGGAACACCGAUGGCGAAGGCAGCCUCCUGGGCCGACACUGACGCUGAGGGCACGAAAGCGUGGGGAGCAAACAGGG